CCCUGCCAUUUGUACACACCGCCCGUCGCUACUACCGAUUGGAAGUUUUAGUGAGGCAUUUGGACCUGCAGGCCAAAGGGGGGGCAACCUCUCUGGGUCAGCGGGGAAGUCUGUCGAACUCAAAUUUC
rnacentral:rRNA from 1 species